UACAGCACCCGUCGUGUUAUUUCUUUGUUCAGUUCGGUAUUGAUGGAAGGUUAUUAUGACUGAGGAAGAAUAUCAGAUAUGAUUUCUGGCCAAUCAGCUCAUGAUGGCGACCGUAAAAUUUCUUGAGUGAUGACCUUAAUUUGAUUGAUUCAUAGCCCUGUCUUAACAACUUUUAAAAAAAGCAGUUACUCCUCGUUCAACAAAAUCAACGUACUUUGAGCUAGCUCUAGAGUAACGUAUCAAUUGAGACACAUAUACUCCAUAUGCUGGUGCCGCUGGGUGCCUCUGCUACACAGAAAUGGAAAGUUGACUAUAGGAAAAUUAAAAUCAUCGCUUUUGUCAUAAAUUUUGGUAUUAAAGUAAUUCAAAUGUUAUAAACUGUUUAAUUUGUUGUAUAGUUUUACAUUGAUCAUUAUGAGCAAUGUUGUUUUAAUGAGUUAUACAGUAGAAACGUGCAGGCUUUUUAGUCACAUAUGUUCCCAAGGAGGAUAAUAUGCAAUAAUACAUAAGACGUUUGCUUUUAUCUGACCGACAUCAAUGCAUCAUAUUAAAGUGCAUACAUAUUAUCGAAGUAAUUCAAAUUUGUGUUUCACAACUCACCAAUACAAUUGCUGAUAUGAUAGUCUCAAUAACUACUUGCAUUAUUUCCGAUAUCAAAUCAAAAAUGAACAAUGAUAUACGGACUGUAGUUAUUAAUUUUACUGUAGAUGAAACUUCGAGUACACUUACAGCUUUUCAUCUCUAUCAUUUUCAUAACUAAAUCAAACUGAUAUUCUGUAUUCGCAAAAUGAAAUAGAAUAGACAAUGAAAACGGAAAACGUGUCAGAGAGGCAAUAACUCGACCAAAGAGCAUAAGACCAAGAUCACAAUACGUCUUCGACAAUAUAAGAAAACCCCCCAAUCGUUGGCGGGCUUCAGCUGACCCUUUAACAGAAUAUAUACUAUAUGAUGUCCAUUUCCACUAGUGUACAUUUAUUUAAUGGGUCAGCUGAAAACCACCUCCAGAUGCAAAAUUAUCUUGCUGUGUUGAAGACACAUUAUUGCCCUUCGGCUGUUUUCUGCCCUUUAAUUUGUGUUAUCGGAACUUUUGUGCUUUUAGUUUUUUUUUACACAUUUCCGAUUUCCCUUCUCAAUUUGAGUUCAGGAAAAUGGACGCAAUAAACUCCAAAACAUACAAAUGAACCACAAUCAGAAAAAAAAACCACAAGACUAACAAAGGCUAUCGGUUUCUUACUUGGAUCAGGCUAGAAUAAAAGCGGCGGGGCCAAUAUUUUGGUGAAAUUGCAGUCCUCCCCUAUACCAUACACUCUACCAAAGUGAAACAAACAGCCUUAUUCAUAGUAAAAACAGAAUUUGUGGUAUGGUCGCCAAUGAGACAACUCUUUACAAGAGACCAAAUGACACUAAAAUUAAGAUCUAUAAGUCACCGUACGGCCCUCAACAAUCACAAAAGCCCAUACCUCAAAGUCAGCUAUAAAUGGCCCCGAAAUGACAAAUGAGGAGGGGUCGGAGGGGUCCUGAUCCCGAAAUCCUGGACUUGGAAAUAUGAAAUUCCGAGGUCCCGAAUUUAGAAAAAAUUAAAUCCCGGCAUCCCGAAAUUCAAAAGAAGAAUUCCCGGAUCCCGAAAGGGUCAAUCCCGAACGAGCUUAAAAAUAUCCGAUCCCGACGUCCCGAAAAAGUCCUGCCCUCACAAAUGUUAAAAAAUUCAAACGAGACAACAAACGUCAGAAUUCAUGUACAAAAAAUGAACGAAAAAACAAAUAUGUCACACAUCAACAAACGACAACCACUUAAUUACAGGCUCCUGACUUUGGACAGGUACAUACAUACAUAAUAUUGCGGGGUUACACAUGUAAGCGGAAAUCCAACCGUCCCCUAACCUUGGACAGUGCUGUGAAAGUACAACAUAAGAACGAACUAUAAAAAUCAGAUGGAUAAAGAUAUAAAUACUACAAAUACAAGUGGAUGUGGCCAGGUACUUUUACAUCCCCCCCCCAAAAAAAAAGGACUAAGUACUGAUCUGAGAAUACUCGCAGCUGCUGACAGCUAGUUCAAACCACAAACAACUAAUAAAAAAAUACAUACAUCUAAGAGUAGAUUAUCAAUCAGUACACAUUCAACAUCCAAUGGAUUUAGUUUAAAGACGUCAUAAACAGUCAGCUGAUACAGGUAUCGACAGAAGUACAUCAAUGAAUGUGUGUAUGUAGAUAACAAUUAUAUUUAGUUUGCUUUUGAUUUACUGAUAACAAAAUUAUUAUUAAUACCAAGAAAAACAGUAUUCAAUGAUCUAGUUACAGUGUUGAAUUAGUAACCUUUCAGAAUGAGCAUAUUGAAAGUAUCUUUUCUAAAUUCCCGGGCACGGAGAACGACAUUUCCGUAAAAAUGAGGAUGUUCUAUCUCGUUUGAAAAUAGCUAUCUACAGCUACAAUCAAACUUCAAAACCAAACCUAUAUAGCUAAUGAAGAAUUGAGUAAGGGUUGUUUUAGUAAUUUGUGUAAACGAAUCACUGGCUUAAUAAUUUACCCACGUUCGUUAAAAUCAAAAUGUGUAUUGAUUUAGAUUUACGAAUGAUGUACUUGUAGAAAAGAUUAAAUUAAGCAAAACAAAAUUUGUGACAUUGGAAACACUGAUUUUUU
rnacentral:lncRNA from 1 species